rnacentral:RNase_P_RNA from 1 species
GUGAGCACAAGAGGAAAGUCCGGGCUCCACCGGAAAAAAUGCCGGGUAAUUACCGGGCGGAAGAAGGCAGUUGUUUUUUUGCGAAAGCAUAAUGCAUAACCCUUAGUCCGACAGACAGUGCAACAGAAAAUAUACCGCAUGAAAGUGUAAGGGUGAAAAGGCGGGGUAAGAGCCCACCGGGAUUGCGGCAACGCGGUCCGCAUUGCAAACCUCAUUUGGAGCAAGGUCAAGCAGCAGUCAUGUUUUUCCGGACAAAGACUGCGGGUAGGCUGCUAAAGGCUCACGGCAACGUGAGUUUCGGAUAGAUGGUUAUAACCAGAUUUCUUAAUCUGGAGACAGAACCCGGCUUAUUGUCUCUUC